rnacentral:rRNA from 1 species
CCCUUAGACGUUCUGGGCCGCACGCGCGCUACACUGACCAGUGCAACAAGCAUCCGUCCUUGGCCGACAGGCCCGGGCAAUCUUUGAACGCUGGUCGUGAUGGGGAUAGACUUUUGCAAUUUUUGGUCUUCAACGAGGCAUUCCUAGUAAACGCAAGUCAUCAACUUGCAUUGAUUACGUCCCUGCCCUUUGUACACACCGCCCGUCGCACCUACCGAUUGAAUGGUCCGGUGAAGCCUCCGGAUUGGCGCGCACCUCGGUGCCGCCGAGAAGUUGGCUAAACCUUACCAUUUAGAGGAAGGUGAAGUCGUAACA